rnacentral:rRNA from 1 species
ACUUGGAUAACUGUAGUAAUUCUAGAGCUAAUACAUGCAACUAAGCCUGUCCUUUGCGGGACGGGCGCACUUAUUAGAUCAAAACCAACCGGACUUCGGUCUGACGGUUUGAUGACUCUGGAUAAUUUACCUGAUCGCACGGCCUUUGUGUCGGCGACGUAUCUUUCAAAUGUCUGCCCUAUCAACUUUUGAUGGUAGGUAAUUUGCCUACCAUGGUUAUAACGGGUAACGGGGAAUCAGGGUUCGAUUCCGGAGAGGGAGCCUGAGAAAUAGCUACCACAUCCAAGGAAGGCAGCAGGCGCGCAAAUUACCCACUCCCGAAACGGGGAGGUAGUGACGAUAAAUAACGAUGCGGGACUCAAUCGAGGCCCCGUAAUUGGAAUGAGUACACUUUAAAUCCUUUAACGAGGAUCAAUUGGAGGGCAAGUCUGGUGCCAGCAGCCGCGGUAAUUCCAGCUCCAAUAGCGUAUAUUAAAGUUGUUGCAGUUAAAAAGCUCGUAGUUGGAUCUCAGGAUUUGGAUGGAUGGUUCGCUUUCGGGCGCUACUAUCUGUCUGACCUACUCUAGUCGUGGAUGCCUUGGGUGCUCUUAAUUGAGUGCUUUUGGUGCCCGACGCAAUUACUUUGAAAAAAUUAGAGUGCUCAAAGCAGGCGUAUUGCCUGAAUAGUGUUGCAUGGAAUAAUGAAAUAGGAGUUUACUUCUAUUUUGUUGGUUUUCGGAGGUGAACUAAUGAUUAACAGGGACAGACGGGGGCAUUUGUAUGGAGGGGUUAGAGGUGAAAUUCUUGGAUCCUCUCCAGACAAACUACUGCGAAAGCAUUUGCCAGGAAUGUUUUCACUAAUCAAGAACGAAAGUCAGAGGUUCGAAGACGAUCAGAUACCGUCCUAGUUCUGACCAUAAAUGAUGCCAUCUAACAAUCCACGAAGUUUGCUUGUUCGAACUCGUGGGCGGUCCCCGGGAAACCAAAGAUUUUGGGUUCCGGGGGAAGUAUGGUUGCAAAGCUGAAACUUAAAGGAAUUGACGGAAGGGCACCACCAGGAGUGGAGCCUGCGGCUUAAUUUGACCCAACACGGGAAACCUCACCCGGCCCGGACACUUUUAGGAUUGACAGAUUGAAGGCUCUUUCUUGAUCAAGUGGUGGGUGGUGCAUGGCCGUUCUUAGUUGGUGGAGCGAUUUGUCUGGUUAAUUCCGAUAACGAACGAGACUCUACUCUGCUAAAUAGAACGUUGAUAUAUAAAAGUCAGUGCUGACUCCUUAGAGAGACUAACGGCGUUUAGCCGUGUGAGAAAGAGCAAUAACAGGUCUGUGAUGCCCUUAGAUGUCCGGGGCCGCACGCGCGCUACACUGACUG